rnacentral:lncRNA from 1 species
CAGAGCAGGCUAUGAGGCCUGGGAACAAGGCAGGAGGUGCAGAAGAGAGGCCACACCGAGGAGCCCAGAGGGGAAUCCCUUAGUCACACAGGCUGCGUCCCCAGACCCUUAGCGAAGAGAAACACAGGACUUGUCUUGGAACCAGAAUGAUGAAAAAAAUGAGUCAACGUUGAGAAGAAGGCUUAUUUUUCAAGAUGGUGGACUGGGCACAGGGGUUUCUCUUUGCUGUCUCCCAAGGACCCAUUAAAAUGCUGAAGAAGGAAUAUGAAAAAGGUAUACCACACAACAUGAAGAGACCUGGGGAUCAGGAUCAGUGGACUGUGGGAGAAGGAGGCCUGAAGGUGAUAACGUCCUGUCUGAAGGAGCUAAUGCACACCCGGGGAGCAGCCCAGCUCCGUUCAAUGAAAUAAAACGUCCAGAGCUGUUCUCUUCAUGUUUUAUAUGGCAACACACUUUUAUGUGUGAUUAAGAAACAAAAUAACAAAGGGAGGAAUGUACUGAGCUUAUCAAAGUACAAUAGUUGCUGCUUCACCAGAAAAACCAGUGCUUUCCUUCUAUUCUGGUGCUGUUAAGCUGACCCUGGGGAAUGAAAGACGCUUUGCUCUGAAAUAAAGAUUAACACUUAACAGCUAUAGUCAGCCCAUGGCAAAACUGUGAAAUAGGCAAAAUUUGUCAUUA